rnacentral:rRNA from 1 species
AUUGAACGCUGGCGGCAUGCUUUACACAUGCAAGUCGAACGGCAGCGCGGGCUUCGGCCUGGCGGCGAGUGGCGAACGGGUGAGUAAUACAUCGGAACGCGCCCAGACGUGGGGGAUAGCUCGGCGAAAGCCGGAUUAAUACCGCAUACGACCUGAGGGUGAAAGCGGGGGAUCUUAGGAUCUCGCAGCUAGUUGGUGGCCGAAGGGCGUACCAAGGCUAGGUGCGGUAACGGGUCUGAGAGGACGACCACCCACACUGGGACUGAGACACGGCCCAGACUCCUACAGUAGGCAGCAGUGGAGAAUUUUGGGCAAUGGACGAGAGCCUGAUCCAGCAAUGCCGCGUGUGUGAUGAAGGCCUUCUGGUUGUAAAGCACUUUUGGCGGGAACGAAAAGGACUGUGCCAAUACCACGGUUCGAUGACGGUACCCGCAGAAUAAGCACCGGCUAACUACGUG